UACGUAGGGGGCUAGCGUUGUCCGGAAUCAUUGGGCGUAAAGAGCGUGUAGGCGGUCCGGUAAGUCCGCUGUGAAAGUCGGGGGCUCAACCCUCGAAUGCCGGUGGAUACUGUCGGGCUUGAGUACGGAAGAGGCGAGUGGAAUUCCUGGUGUAGCGGUGAAAUGCGCAGAUAUCAGGAAGAACACCAAUGGCGAAGGCAGCUCUCUGGGACGGUACUGACGCUGAGACGCGAAAGCGUGGGGAGCGAACAGG
rnacentral:rRNA from 1 species